UCUAGAAUUGCAAGGUGGGUCUUGAAGACUUACGUAACGCGGUGGUGAUACCAUUGAAAUUCAAAUUGUCUUUCAAUUUUUUCCUCUGCCCCUCAUUUUAUUAGGGACUUACAUCUUUCCCUUUUCUUUUUGUCUCCAUUCCUCUCCUCCCUCUCUAUUUCUCCUAAUCUUACUCUCUCUUUAUUUAUCAUUUUUUUUUUGGACAAAUGUAUCUGUCUUUCUAAUUUUUUUAAUUUUUUUAUUGUUACAUAUGAGUAAAUAUGUUUUGAAAAAAAAGAAAGUAAAUGGGCUAGAAUCUAAAAUAAGUCUAUACUGUCCCGUUCA
rnacentral:lncRNA from 1 species